ensembl:lncRNA
GCAAAGUGAAAUUGAAAAUGUCUGACUUGCUUAUAGGGUAAUCAAAAUUGAGCCUCUAAGGGUCCCCAAAUAACCUUGUCCAGGGCCUCAAUAACCCUAAGGUCACUGCUGAUGAGGCCUUGGGCCAGACUCCAGAGGAUGCUUUGCAGCAGGUCAAGAAAUUGAAGGCAUUUCCAGUGCCUGGACUGGCACCUGCAAGCAGCUCUGACACCCUUAAGCAAUGUCCCCAACUUCUAGGGAGGGACUGGAGCAAUGAUGCUUUAUUGGAGAACUUUCCUCCGCUUCUACACAGGCAUUACUUGGCAAUUUUGCAUGGCCUUUUUUCCUGUGGAGAAACAGGACAACAGACCUAAAGAGAAAUGCUGUUGCAUUCAGCGUUUCAACCUCACAGGGCAAAACAGAGACUUUGCCAAAAGCAAGGCAAAGGAAACGCUGAGGUGUGGCAGGGGCUAAAUCCCUCUAGCACAGAGGGACGGGGGUUCAAACAGAAGCUGCCAGGCGUUGAGGCACAGCACUGAGAUUAAAAAAAAGUGCGGGAGGUUAUGAACAAGUAGAGGCUGUUGGAGACCCUGCAGGGUCCCUCUGUGAGCUGAAAAGGGCCAGGGCCAGGGGCUGGCUGGAGGAGGAUGAAGCGACAGCAGCAGGUCUGGCAGCAGAGGGAGUCCUAGGCUGAGGCUGGAACAGGCUGGGUUAGUGGUCCCAGGCAGUCGCGGGAAAAGCCGUUACACCCUUACAUGCAAAAGCAGCCCCGCGGCACGUGCUGGCUAGCCCCCGUCCCACCGGCCUCGCGCGCUCCCCGCGCCUGCGCAGUCCCGCGGCGUGACGUCAGUGUCAGCUGGGCGCGCAGACGGUGGCCGAGUUCCGGGGUGUGGGUGUGGGAGAGGAAGGGGAAGGGCACAGCCUGGCUGGGACUUUGGUCGCUGCGGGACGUGGAGCCGGGACCCUCCACCUUUCCCCGAGUUUGGAUUGACAACAUUCAGAGCUUCAAGGACAUUAACCAGUGCCUGGUAAACUUGAGAAUACAGAUAAGGAACAAGUGGAGAUGUUGGGGAACACAGUGAUGUUACCGUAAAGCAUGAGAAGGUGGCUCAGGAAUGAAGGAUAUUUUUGAGGCAAGAAAGGAUGAUAGAGAAGGAGUAAGAGAAUUAGCAAGCUAAAAGAGGGAAGCAUGGUAACUAGCCGCCAGAGCAGGUGAUAUAGAUGGUGAUGGGUACUGUGGCAGCUCAUGGCCACUACUGAACAGGCUAAUGUUGGACACAGUAAGCUCUAUCAAAGCUGCCAGUCACUUGUUUUCAUCAGUCUCCUGUGUGGAACAGUCUCAAGAUUCAGCAGCUCUGUAUUUUACAGAUCCUUGAAGUGAGUGAGAACCACAGCUAAAGCUCCUUCCAUCUGGAGGAAACACAACUUCCUUCAGAAACAGAGCUCUUUCUAUUUCUUUAAAUGCUAGGCUUAUUAUACUACUUUAUCUCCAAAACAUUUAUAAAAAGGAAAGGCCAUUCACUGUAGCUGGAAGCCUUCCUCAGCCCUUAGAUUAAAUCUCUGAUCCCUCCCACUUUUUUACACAGUUUUCAGUUGCUUUUUUGUUCAGCUUGUACUUCAAAGGCCAUAAAGUAAUGUUGAAGCUACUGUGCUUUCACAUAAGGAAACUUUCGUGUUUUCAAGGGAAAGGUUUAGAGAGAUGUCAUCCUGUAUUACCCUUGUGCCCUCCAAAACAGUGGCUGUAUGUAAGAAAAAAGUGAUACAAGAAGGUUUAAAUUUAAUUUGUUUUGUUUUUGUUUACUCAUUUUGGUAUAGUGUUCUUCCAUGUGAGUAGUUUUAUGGAUGAUUACUGCAUUUUAUUGGCUUAAUGUAACAGUAAAACAUUUUUGGAAAACAGAUUUUCUGGAUUUAAAUUUGUAAUUAAGAAUUUGAGCGUAAGGUUCCUCAAAUGCUAUGUACUAGAACUUAAUAAGUGUAAUAAGAAUUUCCUUUUUUUCCUGCUCCCCUUCCCACUGAACCUUCAAAAAGUAUCCAGUUGAAUAAUUUCUGAAAAAGAAGACUUGUUGCUUCAACAUGCUAUUU